UUGAGACAUGCGCGGUCGAUACAAUCAUGUUUGAUUGAAUUUUGGUACUAGGGAGCUUUUUAUAAGUGAACUAUUUCCUAAUUAAUUGAUAGAUAAGUCUGUAUUUAUAACAAUAAUAGUUUUGUGUGUAUUUUCUAUAGACUAAAAAACAUGGACAGAAUGCAGUUUGCGAUUUUCUUCUAUCUUCACAAUGUGUGCAACCGAUUACACCGGACACAGAAUAAACUGUUCAAGAAAAUAAAAACCCGCUGGGGUGAGAGUCCACCGGACACAUCUCCUAAAUAAACGAACAGAAAAUAAACAGUAGCUUACAUACAUAUUCAAAAGCUUAUAAUAACGGAUAACUUUUCCAUUCAACUACAAUCUAGAGUUUUCUACACUGGUAAUAAAAGUGCCAAAAUGAAAUAAAAAACAAGUUCUAAGUUA